GUAGAUGGUGAAUGAUGGAACUGCAUGUUUUUUUAAUGACUUAUCAUAUGAACAAACUUAUUCACAUGGGAUUUUAAUUGCGUUACUUAGUUAAUGGAAACUCUGCAAUUGCAAAAUUGUGGAGUUUUUUUGAAUAAGUGUGAUACUGA